rnacentral:lncRNA from 1 species
UAGCAUCAAGGGUUAAAGGGAUGAAUUAUGCGAUAAUUAUAUCCAAAUAGGUUCUUGAGUGUUGCUUUGCAUACAUUCGACCUAUCCGGAUAUUGGGUACCAUUACUAGAUUACUUCGAUUGGUAUAGGAAUCAGUUCUCGUGCUAUCGGCUUAGGUUUGAAUCUAUGGGGUCACACAUAUUAGAAGUUUCUUUUUGAUCAUAUGGCU